GUGGGGUUACGUAGCGUUUCGAGCUCGGCUCGACUCUCCCACCCUUUGUGAACGUACCUCUGUUGCUUUGGCGGCUCCGGCCGCCAAAGGACCUUCAAACUCCAGUCAGUAAACGCAGACGUCUGAUAAACAAGUUAAUAAACUAAAACUUUCAACAACGGAUCUCUUGGUUCUGGCAUCGAUGAAGAACGCAGCGAAAUGCGAUAAGUAAUGUGAAUUGCAGAAUUCAGUGAAUCAUCGAAUCUUUGAACGCACAUUGCGCCCCUUGGUAUUCCGGGGGGCAUGCCUGUUCGAGCGUCAUUACAACCCUCAAGCUCUGCUUGGAAUUGGGCACCGUCCUCACUGCGGACGCGCCUCAAAGACCUCGGCGGUGGCUGUUCAGCCCUCAAGCGUAGUAGAAUACACCUCGCUUUGGAGCGGUUGGCGUCGCCCGCCGGACGAACCUUCUGAACUUUUCUCAAGGUUGACCUCGGAUCAGGUAGGGAUACCCGCUGAACUUAAGCAUAUCAAUAAGUCGGAGG
rnacentral:rRNA from 1 species